CGGGUGAGUAACACAUAGGAAUCUGCCCAGUAGCGGGGGACAACUUGGGGAAACUCAAGCUAAUACCGCAUACGCCCUACGGGGGAAAGCAGGGGAUCUUCGGACCUUGCACUAUUGGAUGAGCCUAUGUCAGAUUAGCUUGUUGGUGGGGUAAUGGCCUACCAAGGCGACGAUCUGUAGCUGGUCUGAGAGGACGAUCAGCCACACUGGGACUGAGACACGGCCCAG
rnacentral:rRNA from 1 species